rnacentral:rRNA from 1 species
UAUAGCAUAGCAUUAAUGCACUGGAUCCCAUUAGAACUCCACAGUUAAGCGCACUGAGGCUGGAGUAGUACUGGGAUGGGUGACUACCUGGGAAGUCCGAUAUGCUGUCA